AGCAGCCGCGGUAAUUCCAGCUCCAAUAGCGUAUAUUAAAGUUGUUGCAGUUAAAAAGCUCGUAGUUGAAUUUCGGGAUCAAUAUGUUGGUCGUGCCUUUGGUACGUACUAGCUUAUUGAUUUCUCCCUUCUGACGAACCAUGAUGUCAUUAAUUUGGUGUCAUGGGGAAUCAGGACUGUUACUUUGAAAAAUUAGAGUGUUUAAAGCAGGCUUACGCUUGAAUAUAUUAGCAUGGAAUAAUGAAAUAGGACGUUUUGAUUCUAUUUUGUUGGUUUCUAGGAUCGACGUAAUGAUUAAUAGGGAUAGUUGGGGGCAUUAGUAUUCAAUUGUCAGAGGUGAAAUUCUUGGAUUUAUUGAAGACUAACUACUGCGAAAGCAUUUGCCAAGGAUGUUUUCAUUAAUCAAGAACGAAAGUUAGGGGAUCGAAGACGAUCAGAUACCGUCGUAGUCUUAACCAUAAACUAUGCCGACUAGGGAUCGGAUGAUGUUAAUUUCUUAAUGACUCAUUC
rnacentral:rRNA from 1 species